GCCGUCCUAGCUUAGUGGUAAAGCGGUGGUUUUGUAAACCAUUGACCGGAGUUCGAUUCUCCGGGACGGCUCCA
rnacentral:tRNA from 1 species